rnacentral:rRNA from 1 species
GCGUGUGUGAAGAAGGCCUUAGGGUUGUAAAGCACUUUCGCCCGCGAAGAUGAUGACGGUAGCGGGAGAAGAAGCCCCGGCUAACUCCGUGCCAGCAGCCGCGGUAAUACGGAGGGGGCUAGCGUUGUUCGGAAUUACUGGGCGUAAAGAGCGCGUAGGCGGCUUAUUGAGUUAGGCGUGAAAGGCCUGGGCUUAACCUGGGAACUGCGCUUAAUACGGAUAGGCUUGAGUCCGGAAGGGGGUGGCGGAAUUCCCAGUGUAGAGGUGAAAUUCGU